CAGCCCAACAGCAGCGGGAGCAGAACCAACAUCUCCUAUUAACAACAGCAGCAGCAGCAGCAGGAGUCUACCACCGACACCACAGCAACAGUGGCAGGNNNNNNNUCUUUCUGGCGAUGGUGGUUCUCGGUGGAUGGCGCCGAGUAAUCUGGCUUCUAUCGACGCCACCUGUUUCUUAUCUACUGCUGCUUUUUGUAUGGCAUUGUCAGAAGCCUAUUCUAUAUUGGAGAGUGAGCUGACAUUCCUUUCUGAUAAUGCUGAUACAGGUUCAAGGCCACCAUACACACUGCUUUCUAAAUCAUCCCAAGUAUUAAUUCAUGACAGUGAAUUUAAUUGUUGGCAGAUUUUACAUCUGUUUGGCGGGUAUUAAACUGCCUGUAACAUUAAUAACAGACUUUUAGUAUUAAAUUUGGCCUCAUCAAAUGAUUUGCUAUUAUUCCUGUCAACUUUAGAUGAUGCUGCGUGACUUUAUUCAGCUUGAAAUAUUCUAUGAAGGGAAAUGUCACAAGUUUAUUUCUGUUUUGAUGGAAGGCUUUUUAUUUAGGAUUUGGCCCG
rnacentral:misc_RNA from 1 species